rnacentral:rRNA from 1 species
UAAGACGAACCGUGCGAACGUUAUUCGGAAUCACUGGGCUUAAAGAGCGCGUAGGCGGCGUCGUAAGUUGGAGGUGAAAUCCCAUCGGCUCAACCGUGGAACUGCCCCCAAUACUGCGAUGCUUGAGAGAGGUAGGGGCAUGUGGAACUUCCAGUGGAGCGGUGAAAUGUGUUGAGAUUGGAAGGAACGCCAGUGGCGAAAGCGGCAUGCUGGAUCUCUACUGACGCUGAGGCGCGAAAGCUAGGGGAGCGAACGGGAUUAGAUACCCCGGUAGUCCUAGCCUUAAACGAUGGGUACUGGGUAGGAAGCGUUCCGAUGGCGCCUCCUGCCGUAGCGAAAGUGUUAAGUACCCCGCCUGGGGAGUAUGGUCGCAAGGCUG